UGGGGAAUAUUGCACAAUAGGCGCAAGCCUGAUGCAGCCAUGCCGCGUGUAUGAAGAAGGCCUUCGGGUUGUAAAGUACUUUCAGCGGGGAGGAAGGGAGUAAAGUUAAUACCUUUGCUCAUUGACGUUACCCGCAGAAGAAGCACCGGCUAACUCCGUGCCAGCAGCCGCGGUAAUACGGAGGGUGCAAGCGUUAAUCGGAAUUACUGGGCGUAAAGCGCACGCAGGCGGUUGAUUGAGUCAGAUGUGAAAUCCCCGGGCUUAACCCGGGAAUUGCAUCUGAUACUGGUCGGCUAGAGUCUUGUAGAGGGGGGUAGAAUUCCAUGUGUAGCGGUGAAAUGCGUAGAGAUGUGGAGGAAUACCGGUGGCGAAGGCGGCCCCCUGGACAAAGACUGACGCUCAGGUGCGAAAGCGUGGGGAGCAAACAGG
rnacentral:rRNA from 1 species